rnacentral:misc_RNA from 1 species
GUGAAUCAUCAAAUUUUUGAACGCAAAUUGCGCCUUUUUCGGAAGGCAUGUCUGUUUGAGGGCACGACUUAACAAAUAAUGUGCAGCUGCUUUUUUUGCACACGUUGAUGAGCUUUCCAAGAUUUUUAAAUUUUUGGUGUCGCAUAAUGAACAGCGUGAUGCUUUUUUUUCAGUUCGAGUGUAUUAAUAUUUUUUCUUGUGUUGUGAAAAUCGUAAUCACGCAAUGGUUG